rnacentral:rRNA from 1 species
AGUGAACGCUGGCGGUAGGCCUAACACAUGCAAGUCGAACGGCAGCACAGUAAGAGCUUGCUCUUACGGGUGGCGAGUGGCGGACGGGUGAGGAAUACGUCGGAAUCUACUUUUUCGUGGGGGAUAACGUAGGGAAACUUACGCUAAUACCGCAUACGACCUACGGGUGAAAGCAGGGGAUCUUCGGACCUUGCGCGAUUGAAUGAGCCGAUGUCGGAUUAGCUAGUUGGCGGGGUAAAGGCCCACCAAGGCGACGAUCCGUAGCUGGUCUGAGAGGAUGAUCAGCCACACUGGAACUGAGACACGGUCCAGACUCCUACGGGAGGCCGCAGUGGGGAAUAUUGGACAAUGGGCGCAAGCCUGAUCCAGCCAUACCGCGUGGGUGAAGAAGGCCUUCGGGUUGUAAAGCCCUUUUGUUGGGAAAGAAAAGCAGCAGGUUAAUACCCCGCUGUUCUGACGGUACCCAAAGAAUAAGCACCGGCUAACUUCGUG